AAACUAGACUUUCUGGUGGUUUGAUUUGUUCCAACAGUUUUUCCAUCUAUUGCAGCAACAUUAACAAAAACAUAAACUACAAAUAAAAAAUAUCAACAACAAAGAAACAACAACAUUUGUUCCAACAACAUCAUCAACAACAAAGAAGCAGCAUUCUUUGUUCCAGAACCAUCAAUAACACCACACCACAAGUUCCAACAACUCCAACCCCACCACCAACAUCAAUAACUGCAUCAACAAUAAAGAAACGAAUAAAAUACAUAAAAAAAAAUAAUACUGCCUACAAGGUUUUUAAACUUCCCCCAACAGAUGACUUUUUUCGCAUAUUGUAAUAAAAAUUCUCGAUUUAUUUAUUCAAUACUUAAAAGUUCCUUCAAAAAAUUUUAAUAAAUAUGAUAUGGGUAAAUAGUAACUAAAUAAAAAAAAUAGAUGUAAAUAACUUGCAAAGAAGAAGACGAGAAUGAAAGAGCAAUAAUGAAUCACACCUUAAUGUCAAAAGAGGAUCAAAACAAUAAUUUCAGUCGAGAAAAGAUAUGGAUCGGUUUAGAUCUGAAAAGAUCUUUAUGAGAAGAGAAGAAAAAAGAGAUAAAAAAGGUUGUGACCCUAAAAAGGAGAGAAAUAAAAAGAUGAGAGUUGAAUAAAAUAAACUGCAGCUGAAGGAAGAGAGAUGGGAUAAUUUCUAUAGAUGUAUUGUGUACGUAGACGUAAGGGUUUCAAUAUUCAAUAAUUAAUAUUCAUUAAUUUCAUUAAUAAUUUGAGAGGUA
rnacentral:lncRNA from 1 species